rnacentral:rRNA from 1 species
GUGAGGAAUUUUCCGCAAUGGGCGAAAGCCUGACGGAGCAAUGCCGCGUGAAGGAUGAAGGCCUAUGGGUUGUAAACUUCUUUUCUCAGAAAAGAAUUAUGACGGUAUCUGAGGAAUAAGCAUCGGCUAACUCUGUUCCAGCAGCCGCGGUAAGACAGAGGAUGCAAGCGUUAUCCGGAAUGAUUGGGCGUAAAGCGUCUGUAGGUUGUUUAAAAAGUAUUCUGUCAAAGAUUAGGGCUUAACCCUAGAUAGGCAGAAUAAACUUUUAAGCUAGAGUUUGGUAGAGGCAGAGGGAAUUCCCGGUGGAGCGGUGAAAUGCGUAGAUAUCGGGAGGAACACCAAAGGCGAAGGCACUCUGCUGGGCCAAUACUAACACUGAGAGACGAAAGCGAGGGGAGCAAAUGGGAUUAGAUACCCGAGUAGUCC